CCAAAGAAUCAGACCACAGGUAGUUUACCUGCUGACAUUCAGACACCAUGGAGCUGCGUCUCUCUGCCUGCAUCCUGCUGGUACUUUGUGCGACAUGGAGUGCAGAUGGAGGAAAUAUUUUGGUGUGGUACACCGAUGGCAGCCACUGGAUAAACAUGAAGCCUGUUCUGGAGACGCUGGUUGACAGGGACACCAGGUGACUGUACUGAUUCCGAGCUCGUCAAUGUACAUGAACACCAAUGAACCUGCCCGCUUUCACUAUGAGCCCUUCAACGCCUCUUUCUCAUUGGAGACUAUAGAGAAGUUUCUAGAAGAGUUCCUCCAAUUCUCCAUAUACGAGAUUGAUUAUAUGAACUACUGGGAGAUCUACAUCAGAUUCAUUAACAUUGCAAAGACAAACCUUCAGUACAAUAUUCAGUAUUUGGACGGUGUGGUGAAAUCAGAAGUCAUCAUGAAGAAGUUGAAAGAGGGAAAUUAUGACCUUCUCUUGGCUGACCCAAUCAACCCUGGCAGUGACUUAGUAGCAGAUAUUUUGGGGAUCCCACUCGUCUUCUCCUUGCGCUUCUCUAUAGCUAAUAACUGGGAGAGGCAUUGUGGUCAGAUGCCUGCUCCACCAUCCUUUGUUCCCGGUGCUAUGAGCAAACUCACAGAUAAGAUGGACUUCUCAGAGAGAGUGUGGAACUUUCUCUUCUACGCUCUUCAAGACAUCGUGAUUGAUCACACUUUUGGAACGUAUUAGACAGAUAUUACUCUGAUGUCAAAGGAACUCCCACCAGUGCCUGUGAGUUGAUGAGUAAAGCAGACAUCUGGUUAAUUCGAACCUACUGGGAUUUUGAAUUCCCUCGUCCUUUCCUCCCCAACUUCAAAUAUGUUGGUGGGAUCCACUGCAGACCUGCUAAACUUUUACCAGAGGAUCUGGAGGAAUUUGUGCAGAGUUCUGGAGAUGAUGGCAUUGUGAUCUUCACUUUAGGAUCCAUGAUCAACAACAUCACCAAGGAGAAGGCAAACAUGAUAGCCUCAGGCCUCGCUCAGAUCCCACAAAAGGUGCUGUGGAGGUACAAAGGAGAAAAACCAGAAGCCUUGAGUGCCAACAUUAGAAUAUAUGACUGGAUCCCUCAGAAUGACCUCCUGGGUCACCCUAAAACUAGAGCUUUCAUCACUCACGGAGGCACAAACGGGAUUUAUGAAGCCAUCUACCACGGUGUUCCCAUGGUGGGCAUACCCAUGUUUGGUGACCAGCCAGACAACAUGAUCCAUAUGAAGGAAAAAGGAACUGCAGUUAUUCUCAAUUUGAACUUCAUCACAGCUGAGGACCUUAGAGAUGCAGUCAACACAGUCAUCAAUGACAAAUCGUACAAAGAAAAUGCUAUGCGGCUGUCCAGCAUCCACCACGACAGACCAUGAGUGCUCUGGAAGAGGCAGUAUUCUGGAUCGAGUUCACACUGAGAAACAAAGGGGCCAAGCACUUGAGGGUCCAGGCCCAUGAGCUCACCUGGUACCAGUAUCACAGCCUGGAUGUCCUGGGCUUCUUCCUCACCGUAGAUCUACUCAUCAUAUUCAUCUUCAUCAAGACCUGCAGUUUCUGCCUGCACAGGUGCUGUGUCAGGAAAGGAAAGGCAAAAGGAAGGCUGAAUAACAUCUGGAACAGGUGCUGUGAGUGUUGGGCCGGGGCAAUAUUUGUUACCAGCAUGAGACUUUCUUUCAUGUAUGUUGAGUUUCCCAUCAUCAUAUUCUUUAUGUAUCACCACUAUUUCUCUUGUAGGGAGAAUGCAACGGGAGUGUUAUAUCUGCCAAAGGUGGCUAGUUUGAUGAGACCAAAGUUUAGAAUACAUUUGGGUCUACAUUCAGACACCAUGGAGCUGCGUCUCUCUGCCUGCAUCCUGCUGGUACUUUGUGCGACAUGGAGUGCAGAUGGAGGAAAUAUUUUGGUGUGGUACACCGAUGGCAGCCACUGGAUAAACAUGAAGCCUGUUCUGGAGACGCUGGUUGACAGGGGGCACCAGGUGACUGUACUGAUUCCGAGCUCGUCAAUGUACAUGAACACCAAUGAACCUGCCCGCUUUCGCUAUGAGCCCUUUAAUGCCUCUUUCUCGUUGGAGGCUUUAGAAGAGUUUCUAGAAGAGUUCCUCCAAUUCGCCUUAUACGAGUUUGAUUAUAUGAACUACUGGAGAUCUUCACCAGAAUCAUUAAAUAUGUGAACACACACCUUCAGAUUUCUAUCCAGUAUUUGGACGGUGUGGUGAAAUCAGAAGUCAUCAUGAAGAAGUUGAAAGAGGGAAAUUACGACCUUCUCUUGGCUGACCCAGUCAAAGCUGGCAGUGACUUAGUAGCAGAUAUUUUAGGGAUCCCACUCAUCUUGUCCUUUCGCUGUUUCUUAGUUAAUAACUGGGAGAGGCAUUGUGGUCAGAUGCCUGCUCCACCAUCCUUUGUUCCCGGUGCUAUGAGCAAACUCACAGAUAAGAUGGACUUCUCAGAGAGAGUGUGGAACUUUCUCUUCUACACUUUCCACGAUAUCGUGACUGAUCACACUUUUUGGAACGUAUUAGACAGAUAUUACUCUGAUGUCAAAGGAACUCCCACCAGUGCCUGUGAGUUGAUGAGUAAAGCAGACAUCUGGUUAAUUCGAACUUACUGGGAUUUUGAAUUCCCUCGUCCUUUCCUCCCCAACUUCAAAUAUGUUGGUGGGAUCCACUGCAGACCUGCUAAACCUUUACCAGAGGAUCUGGAGGAAUUUGUGCAGAGUUCUGGAGAUGAUGGCAUUGUGAUCUUCACUUUAGGAUCCAUGAUCAAAAACAUCACCAAGGAGAAGGCAAACAUGAUAGCCUCAGGCCUCGCUCAGAUCCCACAAAAGGUGCUGUGGAGGUACAGAGGAGAAAAACCAGAAACCUUGAGCGCCAACACUAGAAUAUAUGACUGGAUCCCUCAGAAUGACCUCCUGGGUCACCCUAAAACUAGAGCUUUCAUCACUCACGGAGGCACAAAUGGGAUUUAUGAAGCCAUCUACCACGGGGUUCCCAUGGUGGGCAUACCCAUGUUUGGUGACCAGCCAGACAACAUGGUCCAUAUGAAGGAAAAAGGAGCUGCAGUUAUUCUCAAUUUGAACUUCAUCACAGCUGAGGACCUUAGAGACGUAAUCAACACAGUCAUCAAUGAUAAAUCGUACAAAGAAAAUGCUAUGCGGCUGUCCAGCAUCCACCACGACAGACCCAUGAGUGCUCUGGAAGAGGCAGUAUUCUGGAUCGAGUUCACACUGAGAAACAAAGGGGCCAAGCACUUGAGGGUCCAGGCCCAUGAGCUCACCUGGUACCAGUAUCACAGCCUGGAUGUCCUGGGCUUCGUCCUCACUAUGGUUCUACUCAUCAUAUUCAUCUUCAUCAAGACCUGCAGUUUCUGCCUGCACAGGUGCUGUGUCAGGAAAGGAAAGGCAAAAAGGAAAGCUGAAUAACAUCUGAAACAGGUGCUGUGAAUGUUGGGCCGGGGCAAUAUUUGUUACCUACAUGAGACUUUCUUUCAUGUAUGUUGAGUUUCCCAUCAUUUUAUUCUUUAUGUAUCACCACUAAUUACUUUAACUGAAGACAGGUGUACCAGUUUGCAGAAGUGUACCUGAAAUUAAUCUCACUUUAAAAACCGAAUGCUGAUUGAUUGUUGAAUUUUGCUUCCCCCCCCCCGAGAAGAAAACUCACAAAAUUCAUUCUAUGCCUUUACUUGAGUAAUACUCAUGAAAAGUCACCACUUUAGGUCCUCUUGGCACUACAUGUGGUCAACAUUUAUACAAAUAUGGAAGAUGGGCUCCAAAUUGAACUUUUACAUACAGAACUCAUUAACAUAAAUCACAUUAACAAACCAAACUGCCCUCCAUGUCCUGAAAGAGGUUUACACAAAUACAUUUGAAUCACAGCUAGUAUUUGUUCCCCCUCCCCCCAUAUGAAUUGUACAGGAAUAAUUUUAUUUUCAUCAUUUUUUCAAUUUUCCAUCUUCUUUCACUUUCCACAGCAUCAGCUCCAUACAGGCAGUAGCAUCUUCUGCAGUGUCAUGACCACAAACUAAGGGGG